AGAACGAACGCUGGCGGCGUGCUUAACACAUGCAAGUCGAACGCGAACGGUUUCUUCGGAAACCUAGUAGAGUGGCGCACGGGUGAGUAACGCGUAGAUAACCUGUCCUUAUGUCUGGGAUACCCCACCGAAAGGUGGACUAAUACCGGAUGUUCUUGUUUUUCAUAAGUAUAAUAAGAAAAGGUGGCCUCUGAUUUAAGCUACUGCAUGAGGAGGGGUCUGCGUACCAUUAGCUUGUUGGUGGGGUAAGAGCCUACCAAGGCAUCGAUGGUUAGCGGGUCUGAGAGGAUGAUCCGUCACACUGGCACUGAAACACGGGCCAGACUCCUACGGGAGGCAGCAGUGAGGAAUAUUGCGCAAUGGGGGAAACCCUGACGCAGCGACGCCGCGUGAGUGGGGAAGGCUUUCGGGUCGUAAAGCUCUGUCAAAAGGGAAGAAAUGCAUAAUGGUUAAUACCUAUUAUGUUUGACGGUACCUUUAAAGGAAGCACCGGCUAACUCCGUGCCAGCAGCCGCGGUAAUACGGAGGGUGCAAGCGUUGUUCGGAAUUACUGGGCGUAAAGGGCGCGUAGGCGGCUUGAUAAGUCAGAUGUGAAAGCCCACGGCUUAACCGUGGAAGUGCAUUUGAAACUGUCAAGCUUGAGUAUCAGAGGGGAAAGUGGAAUUCCUGGUGUAGAGGUGAAAUUCGUAGAUAUCAGGAGGAAUACCAGUGGCGAAGGCGACUUUCUGGCUGAAUACUGACGCUGAGGCGCGAAAGCGUGGGGAGCAAACAGGAUUAGAUACCCUGGUAGUCCACGCCGUAAACGAUGUCAACUAGGUGUAGGGGGUGUUGAUCCCUCUGUGCCGCAGCUAACGCAUUAAGUUGACCGCCUGGGGAGUACGGUCGCAAGAUUAAAACUCAAAGAAAUUGACGG
rnacentral:rRNA from 1 species